rfam:Ectocarpus siliculosus strain Ec 32, whole genome shotgun sequence assembly, chromosome LG05
GACCGAAUGGCCGAGUGGUCUAAGGCGCUAGGUUUAGGCCCUAGUUCGAAAGAGCGUGGGUUCAAAUCCCACUUCGGUCA